UUCCGGUUGAUCCCGCCGGAGGCCACUGCUAUCGGAGUUCGAUUAAGCCAUGCGAGUCGAGAGGUGCAAGACCUCGGCAUACUGCUCAGUAACACGUGGACAAUCUAACCUAUGGAAGGGGAUAACCCCGGGAAACUGGGGAUAAUACCCUAUAGACUAUGAAUGCUGGAAUGCUUUGUAGUCCAAAGGUCAGCCGCCAUAGGAUGGGUCUGCGGCCGAUUAGGUUGUUGUUGGGGUAACGGCCCAACAAGCCUGUAAUCGGUACGGGUUGUGGGAGCAAGAGCCCGGAGAUGGAUUCUGAGACACGAAUCCAGGCCCUACGGGGCGCAGCAGGCGCGAAAACUUUACAAUGCGGGAAACCGUGAUAGGGGAACUCCGAGUGCCCGUUAAAUCGGGCUG
rnacentral:rRNA from 1 species